rnacentral:lncRNA from 1 species
ACCAUCUAGAGUUUGAUUUUAUACUCUAACACAUGAAAAAAUCAAAUCCUAAGUCAAGCAGCCCUCACUUGUCUUUUUCUUUCUUCUUCUCUCUCUUUCUAUUUUUUCUCUCUUCUUUUUCUUAAUUUUUUUCAAAACUUUUUGGCAUAAUCCUCACUUAUCCCAUGCCUAAAUGCCAGGAUAUCUACUUUAAAAUCCAUAGGGGGCAUUCUCUAUAAAUAGGAAAUGAAGAGGUGCAUGGGUCUCCCAAGAGGCGCCAUCUCUUGGUGCUCCACC